GUUGAGGGGAAUGUUGUCUGGUCCGAGACCUAACACAGGGCGGAUUUAGCUGCGGCAAAGCUUGGUGAGGGGUUUCGGACCAGGCUUCAUUCCCCCCAAC
rnacentral:pre_miRNA from 1 species